rnacentral:misc_RNA from 1 species
UGGCACAAUUCCAUCAGAAAGCGUACCGUGUACGUUGAUCAUCCACACGCAGAGAAAUCUCUGCCGCAGCUCCUCAUGCCGCAGCUCCAGCAGCUUUCCACACAUCGUGCAGCAGGGUCUGCGCAGCCGUUCAUAAAGCACCCAGAUGCGCCGCAGCCAUCGACGGCAUCCUUUCAUGCGCCGGCCACGCCGGUUCCCAGAGCAGUCUUGUUCAAUACAGCAGGCGGGUUCGCGUAUCAGGUGAUGACCUCAGCUAUCGAAAAAGCAAAGGCACCGACAGUGAGUAUCUUCACAGUGCGCCGAAUUCCAGUCGCCAACUCCCGCGCUCUAUCUCUGCACCUCGCUGCGGCCGCAAGCUGCAGGUUGCCGUUCUGCGUCGUUGAAGGUGGAGUGACGUGGAGCGAUGUGGUGAUGACGUUGAUGCUGCCUCAGCCGGAGCGACCCCCUUCCCAUAUGGGUUGGAACGUGCAGGUGCUUGGCCAGGACGUCGACAGCGGUGCCUGGGUCCCCAUCACGCCCUCUCUAUCCUCGCGACUGGAGACGCGUUACUUCCUGUGCACCGACGUCGAGGUGCUGUUUGGGCACUACCAGACCUCUGUUCUCUACAUGCAGGCAAUUCCGCUGACGGCUGAGACGGCUGGGCCCGACUGGCGCACCCCGUUGCAGCAGAGCUCCGCGGCCGGUGCUGCACCGCCCCCCGCGCCCAUCAAGGCGCCACGCCGAGGGAGUGCGUUCGCACCGAGCAGCAGCGCCUCCCAGCCGCGCGCCACCACCGGUGCGAAUACCGCAUCUGCACGACUGGCAGGCAAGGCGAGGCCUUGCAGCCUGAGUGCCGACUUAGGUCUUGCCGCGCAAGCGCCAUCGACGCCACCCCUCAGCCCUCCAUCGGCGCAUGCUAUGUGGUCUCUCGCCGCCUUUGUGAAACAGCAGGAGCGCUGGGGUCGUCGUUGUCAAGAGUUGCGGCAGCGCGCGGCGGGUGUGACGCCUCGGGAAGCGCUGCAGCAGGUGCGUGAGGAGCUGCGAUUUUGCCGUGCCGCUUUUGGCGUUGACGGAGUCGUCGCACCCACCUGUGCCGACAAGGGUGUCGCCACGUGGGCACUUAGCCUGCUGGAGCACCAGUGCACAACGCUGGCCGACGACGUAUAUGCCGCGUGCACAGAAGGGCGCAACGAUCACCGGUUUCUUCUUCGGCUGGCUCGCAGUCGUCUUGGUCGCGCCUUUCAGCUGGCUUGCAAGGUCAUCCAUGUCGCAGACUCGGUGCUCAGCGCUGCCGGGGCAGCAGAUGACGCCGGCGUCGUCUUGUCUGACUUUCCUCGCGACUGGCUGGCGCUUCUGCUGGCCUCGCUGCGCCUGCGCAGUCUUCGGCACCUGGCUCUGGCGCGCGCCUGCGGGGCUGUGUCGAAUGGGAAGCCGCAGUCACCGUGGACGAUGGAGGCCCUCGUUGAUGAGGCGGUCCAGACGGCCGGUUGGAUCCUCGAGGCGCUCUUCAGCAUCUGCGAGCGCGGCGAAAUACCUGGGCUGGCGCAAGCCGCGCUGGCGGAGACGUUACUGACAUGCGCCCUCUCUCUCGCUGAACUGGCGGCGUAUCUUUCCACCAACACGUCGCAUCGCUGCGAACUGAUGGCAGCGGCAGUGCACGUCUGCCGCGUACGCUUCCAGCUUACACGUGGCGACGGCGAUGCUCACUGGCUGCCGCAGUGUGUGAGCGACGUGGUGGCUCGCAUGCAGACCAAGUUUAGCAGGAUACCGCUGACGUCAUCGGCCUUUACCGAGUACGCCGCCCUCAUUCGGCAGCUGCGAGACUCUGCCGAGUGCGCGGAGAUGUGCAACAGGCCAGCUGCUGCGCACGCUGGCGCCCCACCAGCGGACGUCCAGCCAGAACCACUGCCGUUGGGAUAUACUAUUACGCGCCUCCCGGUCACGGCAGCGGUGGAUGCGGCUUUUGUGCGCGGCAACACACUGGUGCGUGAGCUCCGCCGCACCGCCGCGGCGGUGCAGAGGGCAGUUCAGCGGAGCUCGACUGCGCCUUCAUCGUGGAAAGACCCGCCUCAGUCUCCGUAUCGCCGCACCGGCCCUGAGAGUACUGAGCACUUCCAGACCCGCUCAUCGCCACAAGCGUCAGAGGCGACGUAGCCCCUACGGUCAGGUGAAGAGUUGCGCACAGGGGUGCCCCUGUUCUCGGCGAAAGGUGCACUCCGUCCCGACACCUUAGGAGGAGCACCGUCUGCGGUGUGAUUGGAGUCUGCGCUCGCCUUUAGCGGUUUUCUCUACUCCCUCCCGCCCACCUACUCAGGUGUGCGUGCUGCGCAGCCAGUGCCGCUGCUCCUCUCGCGAUGGUGCCAUGGCCCCCAUGUCACCGCAAUCCUCUUUCAGACAAGCACAAGCGCUGUAUCUAUGGGUGCGUCUGUGUGUCGCCGACUCGGCCUCCCUUGUCUUCCUCUUUUCUUCUCUCCGUCUCUCGGCUUUACACCUCUGCCCAUGCCACAGUUAUGUUGCACCCCCCUCUCCCUACUUUCUCUCGAUCCCAUCCGCGAUACCGCACGGACAGCGCCGCAGCGUCUGUGCACGUCUGUGUGGAUCUGCUCAGAACAACGCUCUGUUUUCUUAACUAGUAUGGGUCUUCCUGCCCCUCCG